rnacentral:lncRNA from 1 species
GCCUUCCGAUAUCCAAUACCCAGAUAGUAGUAUCACAUAUAGAAAAAUUAUAAGAUAUUAUCAUAUAAGUAUCUUGAUCAGUAACUAAUUGCUCAUUUUUUUUUAGCCUAUUUUGGUCAUAGUCUGUCUAACUCGAUCAACCUUAGACUUUUCAGCUAGAUUGUGCUCAAGACCAAUAUUCAACUUCUGAUACUGACUAUC